rnacentral:rRNA from 1 species
GGAAGUAAAAGUCGUAACAAGGUCUCCGUUGGUGAACCAGCGGAGGCAUCAUUA